rnacentral:lncRNA from 1 species
GAGAUUUAAAAAGCCCACUCUAGGUCCAAUCUUUUCCUCUCUCUGCCACUUGCUUGUUUAUCAGAUAUAGGCUCAACUACUUCUCCAACACCAUGCCUGGCUGCUGCUGCCUUGUUUCCUUCCAUGAUGGUCAUGGACUAACCCUCUGGUACUGCAAGCAAGCUUCCAAUUAAAUGCUUUCUUUUGUUAAGUUACCUUGAUCACAAUUGUCUCUUCACAGCAGUAGAACAAUAACUAAGACAGUAAGAGAUAGCAAUGGUUUUGUUUUUGUUUUCAUGUUAUCAAUGAGAAGCCAGAGUGCUCUUCCAAAAACCACACUAGUGGAAGUCACCAAGGCAACAUUCCAAUUCAAGAAUGCCUAACUCCUGUUUAACGCUCCUCCCCCUCCCCCCUCUCCCCCCUCCCCCAAGAAAUCCAAUGGCUAGUAAGGUCCUGGUAGAGGCUGAGUGCUUACCAUCACCUUUACUUCUAUCUGCUGCAGCUUCUAGCCAUGCUGUCUCUAUAAGCAAUGGUAUCUUCUGAAAGAGCCCUGACUGCUCUCUUUCAACAGAACUCAACAUCCUGUUAAAGUGUCACUCAAUUUAUAAAACACCUGAAUGUAACAAGACAAGAGAAGGGAAGUGGAAGUCCUCAUUCUCUGGACUCCUAAGCAAAUGUUUUACCUCUCUUAGGAACACCAGCUGAGAACUAACUUAAAGAAGGACCCUUGUACAAACAGUAAUCAAUUAUCUGCCACAUUCAAAUAACAUGCUAUAGUUCACAAAGCCUGAACCCAUAAAUCGUCUUUACUGCCUGAGGUAUCUCUGAAGCACAGGCAUAACUAAUUUGAAGGAACAUCUGAAGAUGUAAAAUGGGAACGCUGACCACAUUGCUGGGCAUUUGAAUCUUAAGAUUGUGCUAUGGUAGGUCAUGGUAUAAUUGUCAAUAUCUAAAGUCUGAAAAACUGUACAAUAGUCUUUGUAGGUGAGAACAGUCAUUCCCAGUGAGGUUUGGUGAGUGAUACAAGCACACCAAGUGCUAAGUGCAGAGGCUCUUAUCCAGGGUUACUUCUCAUUUAAUCUAUGCAGGUUCAGAGAGCAAAUAAGACUGUGUUCCUCUCAAAGUAAGGAGCCCUUCUCACUGUCCUUCACUUUGCGUCCUUCCUCAUCUCCACCCAUAGCACCUGGCAAGUAAUAAGGCUUUUACUUGCUGCUGGAAGGGUAGCAAGUGGUAAUUAAAACGCCUGAUACCUAGGACUUUUCUUCACAACUUCUUCCUAUCUCCUGUAGAGUUCCUAUGAUCUGCGAGUGUUGUAUAAGAACCCAUCAGAAGCCCAGGUGUGUCCCACAGAGUAAUGGAAAUGACACUUUGGGGUGCAACCCUUCACCAGCUGCAACACAGUCUUGAGCACUAGGAGCCUUCUGUGAUCUAUGUUCCUUAAUUCAUCCUGAGAUGUAUACAUACUUUACAACUAUUUAUUAAUGUGCCCUUACGGCCUAGAAAUCAUAUACUACCAUGUUAAAAAUUGUGUCUAAAUUUCAAUGAACACUUGAAAGAUAUAUCCUGGGAACUGAAGUUGGGUAUUACCUAUAUAAAAAGGGAAAAGGGAAGAAAUAUUAAAGGGAGCCAGUUGGAGAUUUAUUUUCCUUUGAUCUCUCCAAUACAGAGAGACUUUUUUCUACAUGGAAAUCUCCCUGUCUGUCUCACACCCCAGCUACUUUCACAUUACCCUCUUAGUGGUUUGCAAAGUGUAGAUCCUGGGACAGUAUCAUCAUGAUCAAGUUAGCUUGUCCAGAGAUCCAAGAGCUCACCCUCUAUAACCCAAGGAGAAAGUCUGCAGGUGGGGCCCAGCGAUCUGUGGUUAACAGCCCUCUAGAUAAUUCUAAUUCAGUUGUAAGGUCAGGAACCAUUGCCCUGUCUGUAAGCCACAGUGUGCCCUUUGAUACAUUAACUGGCCCAUCAGUGGUCUGAAACAAUAUACAAACUUGUCUAGGUCCCCAGGCCAAGGAGGAGAUGGCUGAGGAAUAGCAACCAUUUAACUUACUGUGCCAUAAAAUUAAAUUUAAAGUACUACCUUAACAGCAAGGAUUAUGUCUUCUAAAUGAAAUGCUGCUGAACUGCGGGAACUCUCAGUCACAUAAAUGUCAGGUAAUAGCAAUAAAGGCAACAGUGUUUAAUCCAUUCUUACUGAUUUCUCAACUUUUUUACUAGGCAACCACCAUGUUUUCAUUUUGUUUUCUUUGUUUAGUUUCCCUACUCUAUUGUUUAACUGCUUUAUGCAACAAUUAUUUGUAUUGCUUGUAUUGUAGAGGGUAAAAUAUGUCUGGAUCUUUCAUGACCGUCAGGUGGAAUGCCUCGGUGGGCAGUUUUCUGCCCUUUAGUAAGGUCACCUUGGGAAAUACUGAAAACUUUUCUAGAUCCCUAGUUAAACUCUAUGAUGGACUCAUUUUUCUCCCUGAGGAUUGCCAAGGAAACUCUACAUGUUAUUUCAUUCAUUAAAAAUUCGUUCAGUGCUAUCUAAAAUGGCCAAUGCUCUAUCUAGCUAUGAGAGAAACAAAAUCCCCAAAUCUGAUAAAAAGUUAAUCAAAACAGAGGUGUGUGACUCAUUCAAAGGACAAAGCAUGCCUAUUAAAAAUGUUCCAAGAGAAGACGCGCGGAUAGAGCUGCUGGAGGCCACUCU